CAAACCAAACGUUACAUGCCGGAGCAAAUUUCCCUCCAGGCCCAUACGCGAUCUCUCCGGCGGAGGAGAUCGACGGCGAAAGAUGACAGUGAAAGUUAGGAUUUCAUCUCUCAAUUUUCAGUUCACCAUCUGUUCAAUCCAUUCCGAGAUUACGCUGUUUGAGGACAAGCAAGAUGAUCAUCAAGCAAUUGAGACGUGGAUUGAUAUGAUUGUGGAUGCUGUUUUUGGAGACGAGGAAUGUGCAGGAGCUUGAGACACUGUGAUGCAAAAUGGAGUGAAAAGCUCUGAGCUUUUUGAAUCAGGUAUGCAAUUGGAGUUUUGAUGAUGAAUAGUCAAAGAUUAAGAUCUAGUUGACAAGUUGGAAUACAUUUCAAAGUGGAAGGGUUCUUUUGGUUUAUAAGUAGUGGAAAAUCUGGGCAUGAAAAAAUAUAUCGGUUUCCAAGUACUGCAUUGCUAGUAGAAUCCCAUGUUUAUGGAAGAAAUGUAGAAAGGAACUAAUCGAAUUCUCGAGGGCUGCUGCUGAAAGGAGUGGCUUGCUCAGAUCGUCUACAAUGACAAAAGAAUUGAAGAAGCUUUUGACAUUAAAGUGCUUGUGUUGUUGAUCAUUUCAGUGUUGUGAAUAUGACAAAGGCUCCAAUUGAGCCAGCCAUUACUAAACCAUUUAGAACUACGUCAAAGUCGUUUGAAACAUGUAGUGAACAAAAAGAAUUACUUAACUGUUUUGGAUCAUAUUUGGAUUGAAAACUAUGGGCAUUGAAUGAUCUACUGAUCCCUUUCGUGGUUGGGGCAUUGAAUAAACGGAUAAAGCGAUGGCAUAGAGGAUUGUCUUUAAUUGUUAAGACACUAGGAGGUCUCUAAGCCACUAAACUGGACAUUGGUUAUUGGAAUGAAGUAUCGGAUAGCACCUUAUGGAAUUGUUGCCCAAGAAAGGUUAUGUUCUACGUCUUCAAAAUUGAGUUACUAUCAUCUCCCUUUGAAUCUAAAAAGGCGGUUUGCUUAUUGUUCUGUAUUUCCAAAAUGCUAUGGGCUAACCUGAGAAGAGCUGGUCCAGGAGAAUGUGCCAACAGGUGGAGGAUACAUAGAAAAGGAGGGGCUAAAUGGAAAUUAAAUUGCGUAAAGGCUUGUCAUUUCUCAUGUAAUAUUUAAAGUGCUGAAACUCAAGUAUCAUUGCAGCUUCAAAGUUAGUGUUCUCAUGGAGGCACUACACCCAUUAUUGGGAAGGUGGAUAAGAUAGAAUAUAGAACAUAAUUCAUUUGAGCUGAAGGUCCGAGAGCCUCUGACAGAGCUGCAGAGGCUACUCAGAUGCUAACAACAAUACCAUGAUGCGAAAAGACUAAAGCGUAUCUUCGGGAUAAAAACUGUUUUGGAAGAAAGUCAAGAAUCCCGAGUAUGUGGAUGUAUUCGAAAAUCUGGUAGGAGAAGAAGGCCUUGUAUGCAUUUCCAGACUCCAAACUGAAUGCUUGCAAUUUCGGGGGAUUAUAUAUACACUGCGAUUUUGUUUGUAAUUGAAUUCCUGAGUUGUUAGGAAUAACCAGACUAGUGAAACAAACCAGGAUAUGCUGUGUAGACUUAUGAAGUUUAAUGUAGCUAUGCAGCUAGGUGUUGUCUGUUUUUGGUCAUAUUUUCAUCUGUACUAUCCUCUUGGGACUCUGCUAACAAUCUUGAUCAUACAUGCAUACUUUUCAUUCUCAACAAAA